rnacentral:rRNA from 1 species
GACGAACGCUGGCGGCGUGCCUAAUACAUGCAAGUUGAGCGCUGAAGGUUGGUACUUGUACCAACUGGAUGAGCAGCGAACGGGUGAGUAACGCGUGGGGAAUCUGCCUUUGAGCGGGGGACAACAUUUGGAAACGAAUGCUAAUACCGCCUGAAAACUUUAAACACAAGUUUUAAGUUUGAAAGAUGCAAUUGCAUCACUCAAAGAUGAUCCCGCGUUUUAUUAGCUAGGUGGUGAGGUAAAGGCUCACCAAGGCGAUGAUACAUAGCCGACCUGAGAGGGUGAACGGCCACAAUGGGACUGAGACAAGGCCCAAACUCCUUCGGGAGGCAGCCGUAGGGAAUCUUCGGCAAUGGACGAAAGUCCGACCGAGCAACGCCGCGGGAGGGAAGAAGGUUUUCGGAUCGGAAAACUCUGUUGGUAGAGAAGAACGUGGGUGAGAGUGGAAAGCUCAUCAAGUGACGGUAACUACCCAGAAAGGGACGGCUAACUACGUG